rnacentral:rRNA from 1 species
GACGAACGCUGGCGGCGUGCCUAAUACAUGCAAGUCGAACGCUGAAGGAGGAGCUUGCUUCUCUGGAUGAGUUGCGAACGGGUGAGUAACGCGUAGGUAACCUGCCUGGUAGCGGGGGAUAACUAUUGGAAACGAUAGCUAAUACCGCAUAAGAUUGACUAUUGCAUGAUAGUCAGUUAAAAGGUGCAAUUGCAUCACUACCAGAUGGACCUGCGUUGUAUUAGCUAGUUGGUGGGGUAACGGCUCACCAAGGCGACGAUACAUAGCCGACCUGAGAGGGUGAUCGGCCACACUGGGACUGAGACACGGCCCAGACUCCUACGGGAGGCAGCAGUAGGGAAUCUUCGGCAAUGGACGGGAGUCUGACCGAGCAACGCCGCGGGAGUGAAGAAGGGUGUCGGAUCGUAAAGCUCUGUUGUAAGAGAAGAACGAGUGUGAGAGUGGAAAGUUCACACUGUGACGGUAGCUGACCAGAAAGGGACGGCUAACUACGUG